UUCCCGUACGAUCACCGAAGUUAAGCAACAUCGAGCCUGGUCUGUGUCAAGAUGGGUGACCAUUUGGGAAUACCAGUUGCUGUAA